AACGAACGCUGGCGGCAUGCCUAACACAUGCAAGUCGAACGAGACCUUCGGGUCUAGUGGCGCACGGGUGCGUAACGCGUGGGAACCUGCCCUUAGGUUCGGAAUAACUCCCCGAAAGGGGUGCUAAUACCGGAUAAUGUCUUCGGACCAAAGAUUUAUCGCCUUUGGAUGGGCCCGCGUUGGAUUAGCUAGUUGGUAGGGUAAAAGCCUACCAAGGCGACGAUCCAUAGCUGGUCUGAGAGGAUGAUCAGCCACACUGGGACUGAGACACGGCCCAGACUCCUACGGAAGGCAGCAGUGGGGAAUAUUGGACAAUGGGCGAAAGCCUGAUCCAGCAAUGCCGCGUGAGUGAUGAAGGCCUUAGGGUUGUAAAGCUCUUUUACCCGUGAUGAUAAUGACAGUACCGGGAGAAUAAGCUCCGGCUAACUCCGUG
rnacentral:rRNA from 1 species